CCCAAAAAAUUCCCCCUCUCUCCCUCUCUCUCUCUCUCUCUCUCUGUCUCUCUGGAACCCUGUCUCUCUCCCAUUAAAGCCUCCACCAUUUUCUUCGUUCGUUCAUAUUUAGCUUUGAGUAGAGGAUUUUGUGGAGGAGAAAGAGAAAGAAAUCUCUAUGUUUGUUUGUUUGUUCUUAUAAGAUUUGGGUUCCUUUUGAAGUUAUCAAAACGCAGAGAAAAAAGUGAACAAAUAACAAAGGAGAGAAAUUUUUGGCAUUCUUUGCGCUGCUUAGGAAAAUCAUUGGAGAAGAACAUACAGCGCCAGAGUCCUUUUGGGCUUGUUUGGAUUGUCACGUUUCUUUUUGAAAUGGUUUUCAUGAGUGAGAUUUUCUCGGCAGACGAAGAUAAGCUUGAAGAAGGAGAGUGGGAGUGGGAGACAGAGAGAUAAUAUACACCCAGUGCCAGAUUGGCAGAAGUAGAAAGAGAUAACGAACGAGAACAAGAAGAGUUGGGAUUCGAUUCUUUCUGCUUCUGCUGGGUUAUUGGCAAUGUCUGCAACAAUAAUCAACGACCCAAUGGUAAUAUCAGCCCCGGAAACACAACCACCCGCAGUAGCUACCAAACUCAUCACCCAAAUCGAAGUAGAAUUCGUCAUAUGCGACUGCUGCGGGCUUACCGAGGAGUGCACACCGGCGUACAUAGCGCGCAUCCGGGAACGUUACCAGGGCAAAUGGAUAUGUGGUCUAUGCUCCGAGGCCAUAAAAUACGAGAUCAUGAGGUCCGAAGGGCUAAUUAGCACUGAAGAAGCAAUCACGAAUCACUUCAACUUCUGUAAAACAUUCAAGUCCUCGGAGCCGCCCCCGAAUCCCACGGUGCAUUUGAUAGCUGCCAUGAGACAGAUUCUUAGGCGCAGUUUGGAUUCUCCGAGGGGAAUGAGGUCUGCGCCAACUAGUCCGGUGAAAGGUGACCGGAAUAUUCAUGCUCCGGGGUUUCCCAGGUCUGGCAGUUGUAUUUCUAGUCUUUCCGGUUCGUGAAGGUUUGGGAUGGAAAGGGAACAAUAUAGAGACAUACAAGGGGGAGUAUACGUUUCUUCUUUGUGCAAACUGAACACCCAAAAAAGGAAUAAGGGUUGAAAUGAUUAAUGUAGUUGUCUGGUUAUGAUCAGGUAUAUGAAACUUUUUUCUCUGUUGUUAAAAACUUUACUCUGUUUUCUCUGAAUCCAAA